CUAACGAUUGAUCUAGUUACUUAGAAAAAUGAGAAACCAAAUAAAAAAUAUUAUUUAUUUAUAAAUAAUAUUCCAAAUAAGGAAUUUGAAAAAAAUAAAAUUUAAAUUAUAUUUAAAAUAAUGAUUGAAUAUAAUAAAGUCUUAACAAAAAUUAGUGCCAGCAGUUGCGGUUAAACUAAGAAGACUAACGUUAAUCAUUAAGGCUUAAAGGAUCCGUAGAACAAUUAAUAAAAAUAAAAUUAAUUAGAGUUUUAAAAUGUUAAAAGAAUAGUUAUGGUAGAGAUCAAAUUUGAUAAUCAUAAAGAGACUACUAAUAUGAAGAUAUUUAACUUGAAGAAACUGACGUUGAGAGGAUGAAAGCAUAAGAAGUAAAAUGGAUUAGAUACCCAUUUAAUUUAUGCAGUAAACGAUGAAUACUAAUUAAUUAAUAUAAUUUAUAUAUUAAUAUAUAAAGUGAAAACGUAAGUAUUCCGCCAGGUGAG
rnacentral:rRNA from 1 species